rnacentral:rRNA from 1 species
GAAAGCGAUGCUAAUACCGGAUAAUAUCUUAAAAACCUCGGUUUUAAAGAUCAAAGGUGGCCUCUACAUGUAAGCUACUGUUUGAGGAUGAGCCCGCGUACCAUUAGCUUGUUGGUAGGGUAACGGCCUACCAAGGCUGCGAUGGUUAGCUGGUCUGAGAGGAUGAUCAGCCACACUGGAACUGACACACGGUCCAGACUCCUACGGGAGGCAGCAGUGAGGAAUUUUGCGCAAUGGGGGAAACCCUGACGCAGCAACGCCGCGUGAGUGAUGAAGGCUUUAGGGUCGUAAAGCUCUGUCAAGUGGGAAGAACCCACAUGGUGAUAAUACCCCAUGUGUUGACGGUACCACUGAAGGAAGCACCGGCUAACUCCGUGCCAGCAGCCGCGGUAAUACGGGGGGUGCAAGCGUUAUUCGGAAUUACUGGGCGUAAAAAGCGCGUAAGCGGUCUCUUAAGUCGGAUGUGAAAG